UUACAUCUCUCCUGAAGUCUCUUCUAGAUCGAUUAUUCGUUAGUUCUCAUUUUCGAAUUCUCGUUCCAGAUCUGGAAAGAUCGGUCCUUGAUCUACGAUUCGGCUAUGGAUUUAUGUUAUUUCUCCGUUCAAUUUGUUAUCGUUCCUGUUCAGAUUUGUUGUAGUAGCCUUUUUUCUAUGGAGUUCGGGUGAAAAUCGCUUUUGGUUCUAUAGAUCUGUUG
rnacentral:lncRNA from 1 species